AGGUAACCGCUGCCGGACGAAGUGCCGUUGCGGCAGAGGAACUUCCGGACUCCACAGAGCAGUACGCCGCCCGAAAGGACGGGACGGCGGGGCCAUAUCCCCGUCGGACGGAAAGUGCAACAGAAAAUAUACCGCCCGCAAGGGUAAGGGUGAAAGGGUGCGGUAAGAGCGCACCGCACAGGCGGCAACGCCUGCGGCAGGGUAAACCCCGUACGGAGCAAGGCCAAACCGGUUCAUACGCGGCUCGCGUUCGCUAACCAAGUAGGCCGCUUAGAGUAAUGGUUACCACGGUGCCAGACCGACAGAAUCCGGGGUAUUGGCU
rnacentral:RNase_P_RNA from 1 species